CACAGGCUAUGCCAUGCAUUCACUAUGUAAUGAGACUCCAUGAAAUGCGGUACCGACUCUUCUUGAACAUACAGUUCAAGCUCACCGAUCCCUCCGGAUACGGCUACUAAGCUCACUAGUCCCACUCAUUGAGAUCUAAUGACUCACUCACUAAUUCCUCACAAUGGAAAUUAGCUACAGCCCCGAAGGCUAGACUAUGCAAGCUAAUCAUCUAGCAUGCAAACAUCAACAACAAUUACCACAACAAUUCACUCACUAAUUCCUCAC
rnacentral:lncRNA from 1 species